UGGGGAACUGUAUUUUUAAUAACAACAACAUUGGUUGCCCUUCUGAAAAAAGAAAACGAAGUAUCAGUAGUAAAAGAAGAAACACAAGGGAUCACAGAUACUUACAAGCUGCUUUUUGCAAUUAUAAAAAUGCCAGCAGUUCUGACAUUUUGCCUUCUGAUUCUAACUGCAAAGAUUAUUGCUUGGGUUAGAAUAUGCCCUACUGGUUUGGUGGACUCCUAAAGUAGAACAUCAAGGGGGAUUCCCUAUAUAUUACUAUAUCGUAGUCCUGCUGAGUUAUGCUUUACAUCAGGUUACAGUGUACAGCAUGUAUGUUUCUAUAAUGGCUUUCAAUGCAAAGGUUAGUGAUCCACUUAUUGGAGGAACAUACAUGACCCUUUUAAAUACCGUGUCCAAUCUGGGAGGAAACUGGCCUUCUACAGUAGCUCUUUGGCUUGUAGAUCCCCUCACAGUAAAAGAGUGUGUAGGAGCAUCAAACCAGAAUUGUCGAACACCUGAUGCUGUUGAGCUUUGCAAAAAACUGGGUGGCUCAUGUGUUACAGCCCUGGAUGGUUAUUAUGUGGAGUCCAUUAUUUGUGUUUUCAUUGGAUUUGGUUGGUGGUUCUUUCUUGGUCCAAAAUUUAAAAAGUUACAGGAUGAAGGAUCAUCUUCGUGGAAA
rnacentral:lncRNA from 1 species